AGGCAAUGGCAACCCCCUUUGGGUCCCCUCCCUUUAUAUGGGAGCUCUGUUUUCACCCUAUUAAAUCUUGCAACUGCACUUUUCUGGUCCAUGUUUGUUACAGCUUGAGCUGAGCUUUCGCUCGCCAUCCACCACUGCUGUUUGCCGUUGUGCCGGACCCGCCACUGACUUCUAUCCCUCCGGAUCCGGCAGGGUGUCUGCUGUGCUCCUGAUCCAGCGAGGCGCCCAUUGCUGCUCCCGAUCAGGCUAAAGGCUUGCCAUUGUUCCUGCACGGCUAAGUGCCUGGGUUCGUCCUAAUCGAGCUGAACACUAGUUACUGGGUUCCAUGGUUCUCUUCUGUGAUCCAUGGCUUCUAAUAGAGGUAUAACACUCACCUGGCAUGGCCCAGGAUUCCAUUCCUUGGGAUCCGUGAGGCCAAGAACCCCAGGUCAGAGAACACGAGGCUUGCCACCAUCUUGGAAGCGGCCCACCACCAUCUUGGAAGCUGCUAGCCACCAUCUUGGAAGUUCUGUGAACAAGGACCCCCGGUAACAUUUUGGCGACCACGAAGGGACCUCCAAAGUGGUGAGUAAUAUUGACCCUUUUGCUUGCUAUUCUGUCCUAUCCUUCCUUACAAUUGGAGGAAAAUACCGGGCACCUGUCGGUCAGUUAAAAACGAUUAGCGUGGCUGCCAGACUUAAGACUCACGUGUGAGGCUAUCUGGGGAAGGGCUUUCUAACAACUCCCAACCCUUCUGGGUUGGGGAUGUUGGUCUCGCUGGAGCCAGCUUCCACUUUUAAUUUUCUUGGGGAAGCCAAGGGCUGACUAGAGGCAGAAAGCUGUCCUCCCGAACUCCUGGCAGUAGCCGGUUGAGAUCACGGCGCAGCCAGAAGUCUCUACUCAACAGUCGCCCAUGUGUGCGCCCCUACCUUUCCUUCUGACCCAUACCUCCUGGGUCCCAACCACGACUUUCUUGAAAGUGUAACCCCAAAAUUCUCCUUACCUCUGAAUCUACUCCUCUGAUCCCUGCCUCCUAGGUACUAAUGGUUCAGACUUUCAUUUCCUCUAGCAAGUUGUAUCUCCAAAGGGAUCUAAGGAAGCUCUAUGCUGUGUCCUUAGGCACCUAGGCUAUAACCCAGGGAGUUUUAUCCCUGGAGUCCCUCCUGAUUUAGGUAUACAGCUCUGGACAUGGGCAGUUAUGUAGGACCCAUUCCCCACCAUCCUUGCCAGGGCCCCAAGUUUGUAAUGGCUAAGAGAGGGACAGUGAGAGACAGAGAGAGAGAGAUGAAGAGAGAUAGAGAGACGGAGAGAGAGGGGGAUGGAGAAAGAGAUAGAGCGAGUCAAAGAGAAAAAAAAAAGACAAAUAGUAGAAAAAAAGUGUGCCCUAUUCCUUUAAAAGCCAG
rnacentral:lncRNA from 10 species